CGGGUUGCAGCAGUAGGGAAUAUUGGUCAAUGGAGGCAACUCUGAACCAGCCAUGCCGCGUGUAGGAAGAAGGCGUUCUGCGUUGUAAACUACUUUUGAUUGGGAACAAAUGACUCUUGCGAGAGUAGCUGAGUGUACCAAUAGAAUAAGCCACGGCUAACUACGUGCCAGCAGCCGCGGUAAUACGUAGGUGGCAAGCGUUGUCCGGAUUUAUUGGGUUUAAAGGGUGCGUAGGCGGCUUAAUAAGUCAGUGGUGAAAGCCGAUCGCUUAACGAUCGAACUGCCAUUGAUACUGCUAGGCUUGAGUAUAGUUGAGGUAGGCGGAAUUGACAGUGUAGCGGUGAAAUGCAUAGAUAUUGUCAAGAACACCAAUUGCGAAGGCAGCUUACUAAAGUAUAACUGACGCUGAGGCACGAAAGUGCGGGGAUCAAACAGGAUUAGAUACCCCGGU
rnacentral:rRNA from 1 species